AGCAGAGGAUCCUGCAGUGUGGAGUGGCCUGCACCUGAGAAAGAGCUCCUAGAAAGGAAGUCCUGCGUCUGGAGGCGUCGUACCAGGAGGCUGUGUGGAGAGGCUGUCGGGCAUCUUCCAGGGACUACAGAUGGAUCAGGAGGUUCCUGAGAGCCCAGGCGGAAGAGUUACAUGUGAAAACAGGAGAGAUGGCACUCCUGCUCCUGCAAGUGACCAGAGGCUGGAGCUGCCAUGUGGGGCCCACUUGUAUUUCAAGAUUUAAAUGCUCCCUCGUGCCUGCAGUGUCGACAGACAAAACGGCAUAAAACCAAGAUACCAAUGAUGAAAACCUAAAGACACAUCAAGAUAUUUGGGGAUAAAGGGUAUGGGAGUGUAGGUGUAAGGAUCAAGAGGGAGGGACAGAAGAAGCUGAAAAAGAGAACAAGACAGCAGGGAAAUAAAGGCGAGAACACUGGGACGAUAGGACUUCCAGCCACUACAUGACUAGGGUCUGAACCGCUGUCACUCUCCUCUCUGGUCAGGGGGAUGCUGCUGGACCAGGGUCUGCACAGGGCGAGGCCAGCCUGUCACCCGUCAGAGGGAGCAGGUUCACAGGCCGAGAGGAGUGAGACUGUAGCUGCCCGACAUCCACUCUCAGUGAGAGGAGAGAGACAUGGACAGAUUUCAGGGAGGGAAAGCACUGCCCGAAUGAGGGUCUGAGGCCCCAGGGGCCAGGAAGGCAGACUUACAAACACGGUGACGCUGAAGUAAGAAAUUCAGGCGGCCACUUGUCACCCAUGGGGAAGCUCUGUUCAGUGGGCCCAGAGGUGCCCAGACCCUCUCUUCGGAAGGGGACAGCUGCCCCAAGUUGGGUGCCACUAAGUCUGAUACGGACCAGGGUUCCUAGCCUCCUCCUUAUCAAGAGAAAUUGACUAGAGGUCAGACGUGACGUUCAGGCAAGGCUUUAUUGGGGCCCAUGCUUGCUUGCUCCCUGGGGGUGGGGGAGCUGGUUCCUUCUGGGAGGGCGGGGGGAGAGGUGUGUCCAGGACUCAGGCCACGGCGGGGCCUGGGUGGUCUGCCCAGCCCUUAGCUGGUGGUGUGUGUGCAGCACCAAGCCCUUCAGAAGCGGCAGCUGGGACUUGUUUGUCUUGGCGCAUCUCUCUGUCCAUCCCUUGCCCCAGCUGCUUGAGAGGAGGUCUGUCAGGCGCCAGCACUGCAGCCAGGGGUCCCAGGGCCCACCCAGCCUGUCUCAGUUUCACAUCCCAUCUCUCCCGUACUUUUCCUGAGCUGCUGCUGUUAACAUUUAUAUUCAUGUUUAUUCCAUAAGUGCACUGUUAUUUCUUAAACAGGCAAUUAUGUUUUGAAGAAAUAGGUAAGAGAUCCCUUAUCAGUUUAGCCGUGUAAUUGACAGUUCGAAAGAUCUCUGUGUCCUUAGGUAGAUGCAGGAUUCUCUGAUGUUACUUUACUUUUGUCUGGACUUCUUUUAACACUUCUUGCAGGAUGGGUCUAUUUGAGAUGAAUUAUUUUUACUUUGUAUUACAUUGUAGAUAUCUUUAUCUCACUCAAGGUUUUCUUUUUAUUGUGUUAAAAUACGCAUAACACAAAUUUACCAUUUAUCCACUGUUUAGGGUGCAGUUCAGUUAAAUACUUUCACAUUAUGUGUAGCCCUCGCUACCCUCCAUCCACAUAACUCUCUUCAUCUUGUAAAACUGAAACUCUGCACCUAUUAAAUGACUCCUGGUUCUCCCCUCCCCUGGUGACCACCACUGUA